rnacentral:rRNA from 1 species
UUUGUUGUUUUGUAGGGCACACGGUGGAUGCCUUGGCAUAUCAAGCCGAUGAAGGACGUGAGAGGCUGCGUUAUGCCUCGGGGAGUUGCCAACUAAGCGUUGAUCCGAGGAUGUCCGAAUGGGGAAACCCAGCCGCAGUGAUGUGUGGUUACCUGCCAGUGAAUGUAUAGCUGGUGUGGAGGUUUACACGGGGAAGUGAAACAUCUCAGUACCCGUAGGAGAAGAAAACAAUUGUGAUUCCGUUAGUAGUGGCGAGCGAACGUGGAUGAUGGCUAAAACUUAUGUGUGUGAUACCCGGCAGGGGUUGCAUGUAGGUGGUUGUGGGGCAAUAACAUCCAUAUUCUGCCGGAUGUGGGCAUGUGCUGCGUGGUUAGUGGAAGUGGUGUGGAAACACCUGCCGUAGAAGGUGAGAGUCCUGUACACGAAGAUCAUGGUGGUGUGUGUGGUUGUUGAUACCCCGAGUAGCAGCGGGCUCGUGGAAUCUGCUGUGAAUUAGCCGGGACCACCCGGUAAGCCUGAAUACUUGAUAUGACCGAUAGCGGAUUAGUACCGUGAGGGAAUGGUGAAAAGUACCCCGGGAGGGGAGUGAAAUAGUACCUGAAACCGUGUGCUGUCAAUCCGUCAGAGCAUCCUUAUGUGGUGUGAUGGCGUGCCUUUUGAAGAAUGAGCCUGCGAGUCAGCGGCAUGUCGCGAGGUUAACCCGUGUGGGGUAGCCGUAGGGAAACCGAAUCCUAACGAGGGUGUUUUAGUGGCAUGUCUUGGACCCGAAGCGGAGUGAUCUACCCAUGGCCAGUGUGAAGCAGCUGUAAGAGGUUGUGGAGGCGCGAACCCACUUAGGUUGAAAACUGAGGGGAUGAGUUGUGGGUAGGGGUGAAAGGCCAAUCAAACUCCGUGAUAGCUGGUUCUCCCCGAAAUGCAUUUAGGUGCAGCGUCGUGUGUUUCUUGCCGGAGGUAGAGCUACUGGAUGGUUUAGCGGGACCAACAUCUUAGCGACAUCAGCCAAACUCCGAAUGCCGGUAAGUGAGAGCACGGCAGUGAGACUGCGGGGGAUAAGCUUCGUAGUCGAGAGGGAAACAGCCCAGAUCGCCGGCUAAGGCCCCUAAGGGUGUGCUAAGUGGAAAAGGAGGUGGGGUCGCGAAGACAGCCAGGAGGUUGGCUUAGAAGCAGCCAUCCUUGAAAGAGUGCGUAAUAGCUCACUGGUCGAGUGAUUCCGCGCCGACAAUGUAGUGGGGCUUAAGUACACCGCCGAAGCCGCGGCAAUGAUCUUUUUUGGAUUGUUGGGUAGGGGAGCGUCGUGCAUGCGUUGAAGCUUUGGGGUGACCUUGGGUGGAGUGUGUGCGAGUGAGAAUGCAGGCAUGAGUAACGAAUGAUGCGUGAGAAACGUAUCCGCCGGAUGACUAAGGGUUCCUGGGUCAAGUUAAUCUUCCCAGGGUGAGUCGGGGCCUAAGGCGAGGCCGACAGGCGUAGUCGAUGGAUAACGGGUUGAUAUUCCCGUACCCGAGUAUGAGCGACCAUGGUGAAUCAGUGAUACUAACCACCCAUAAGCACCCGCGAAAAGGCUUUGCUUUUUUGUGGUGUGUGGUUGCGUGGGACCUGAUCUGGUAGUAGCUAAGUGAUGGGGUGACGCAGGGAGGUAGCUCAGCCACUUAUUGGAUUGUGGUGUAAGCGUGUGGCACGCAGUGUUGGUAAAUCCGCACUGUUUUUGUGUGAGGCGUGAUGCGGAGCCCGUAAAGGGUGAAGUGGGUGAUCCUGUGCUGUCGAGAAAAGCCUCUAGCGAUGUUGAUAUUCGGCCCGUACCCUAAACCGACACAGGUAGUCAGGUAGAGAAUACUAAGGCGUUCGGGUGAACUGUGGUUAAGGAACUCGGCAAAAUGCCCCCGUAACUUCGGGAGAAGGGGGGCCACGGCGUGUGAACAACUUUUCGUUGGGAGCGUGUUGUGGUCGCAGAGAAUAGAGGGAAGCGACUGUUUACUAAAAACACAGGUCCGUGCGAAGACGUUUAAGUUGAUGUAUACGGACUGACGCCUGCCCGGUGCUGGAAGGUUAAGAGGACCGGUUAG